rnacentral:rRNA from 1 species
CCUACGGGUGACAGCAGUAGGGAAUCUUCCACAAUGGACGAAAGUCUGAUGGAGCAACGCCGCGUGAGUGAAGAAGGGCUUCGGCUUGUAAAGCCCCGUUGGCAGUGAAGCAAGAUAGAGGUCGUAACUUGCCUCUAUUUGACGGUAAUUACUUAGAAAGUCCCGGCUAAAUACGUGCCAGCAGCCGCGGUAAUACGUAGGUGGCAAGCGUUGUCCGGAUUUAUUGGGCGUAAAGCGAGUGCAGGCGGUUCAAUAAGUCUGAUGUGAAAGCCUUCGGCUCAACCGGAGAAUUGCAUCAGAAACUGUUGAACUUGAGUGCAGGAGAGGAGAGUGGAACGCCAGGUGUAGCGGUGAAAUGCGUAGAUAUAUGGAAGAACACCAGUGGCGAAGGCGGCUCUCUGGUCUGCAACUGACGCUGAGGCUCGAAAGCAUGGGUAGCGAACAGGAUUAGAUACCCUGGUAGUC